rnacentral:piRNA from 1 species
AAUGGAAUUUUAUCUGCGUCAGAAU